GAAAUAGCUCAGUUGGGAGAGCGCUAGACUAUAGAUCGAAAGGUCCCUGGUUCGAUCCUGAAACUUUUU
rnacentral:tRNA from 1 species